rnacentral:rRNA from 1 species
UACGUAGGGUGCGAGCGUUGUCCGGAAUUAUUGGGCGUAAAGAGCUCGUAGGCGGCUUGUCGCGUCGGAUGUGAAAGCCCGGGGCUUAACUCCGGGUCUGCAUUCGAUACGGGCAGGCUAGAGUUCGGUAGGGGAGAUCGGAAUUCCUGGUGUAGCGGUCGAAAUGCGCAGAUAUCAGGAGGAACACCGGUGGCGAAGGCGGGUCUCUGGGCAGUAACUGACGCUGAGGAGCGAAAGCGUGGGGAGCGAACAGG